rnacentral:rRNA from 1 species
GACGAACGCUGGCGGCGUGCUUAACACAUGCAAGUCGAACGGAAAGGCCCUGCUUUUGUGGGGUGCUCGAGUGGCGAACGGGUGAGUAACACGUGAGUAACCUGCCCUUGACUUUGGGAUAACUUCAGGAAACUGGGGCUAAUACCGGAUAGGAGCUCCUGCUGCAUGGUGGGGGUUGGAAAGUUUCGGCGGUUGGGGAUGGACUCGCGGCUUAUCAGCUUGUUGGUGGGGUAGUGGCUUACCAAGGCUUUGACGGGUAGCCGGCCUGAGAGGGUGACCGGCCACAUUGGGACUGAGAUACGGCCCAGACUCCUACGGGAGGCAGCAGUGGGGAAUAUUGCACAGUGGGCGGAAGCCUGAUGCAGCAACGCCGCGUGCGGGAUGACGGCCUUCGGGUUGUAAACCGCUUUCGCCUGAGACGAAGCGUGAGUGACGGUAAUGGGUAAAGAAGCACCGGCUAACUACGUG